AUGAGGCCUCUCCAAGAUCUCUACAAUGUCAACAUAGUUGCAGAGUAUUAUAGAUUCAAACGGAGGAUGCUGGAGAGUCCCUUUGAAUAUCAUGCUAUGUUAAUGGGGACCAAGCAUCUUAUGACUUUUGAUGGCAAAAUUUAUGAUUUGGCAUCAAAGUGCAGUGUACUUCUUGCCAAGGAUUUUGUUCACAAUACUUUCACUGUAAUACUAAAUGAGGAAACUAGUAACUCAAGAUCCCUGUAUGUGGAGAUGAACAAGACCGUGAUCAACAUCUCACCAAGACUGAAGGUAUCCAAGAUGUACAACUUCUCCUUUAUGGAAGAGAACUGCCAAGCACUGGAUCAGUCCCUUGAAAAGAAUACCAUUAAUUCAAGGAGAGAAACCAACAAAAUAGAAGUGUCCAAUCAGAAAGGAGUUUCUGUCUCUUGUGACUUCCAGUAUGAUCUCUGCACUGUCACUCUGGCUGGCUGGCAUCAUGGCAUCUCAGCUGGGCUUUUUGGUACCAAUGACAAUGAAGCUGGAAAUGAAUGGAUCCUUCCUAAUGGUUCCAUCACUGACAAUGUGCAGGAGUUCACACAGAGCUGGCAGGUGAACACUUGCAGGCUUGUACAGAAGAAAGCGGAGCCAUGUCCAAAUAAGCAAAAAGUCUGUAAAGUGUUUUUUGAGGAACCACAUUCCCUUCUUCGGAACUGCUUCAAAGUUGUGGACCCUGCACCAUUCUACAGCAUGUGCACUUAUGACUCCUGUGGAUCACAUGAGGUGAAGGCUGCCUGCAGUUUAGCAGCAGCUUUUGUUCACUUGUGCAACCAAAACUUUGUCCCUGUAGAAAUUCCUCCUCAGUGCUUGAGCCACUUCUGA
rnacentral:lncRNA from 14 species